GUUGAAUUUUGUCAAAGGCUUUUUCUGCAUCUAUUGAGAUAAUCAUGUGGUUUUUGUCUUUGGCUCUGUUUAUAUGCUGGAUUACAUUUAUUGAUUUGCGUAUAUUGAACCAGCCUUGCAUCCCAGGGAUGAAGCCCACUUGAUCAUGGUGGAUAAGCUUUUUGAUGUGCUGCUGGAUUCGGUUUGCCAGUAUUUUAUUGAGGAUUUUUGACAGUUUUGCUCUUGUUGUCCAGGCUGGAGUGCAAUGGCAUGAUCUUGGCUCACUGCAACCUCUGCCUCCCAGGUUCAAGCCAUUCUCCUGCCUCAGCCUCCCAAGUAGCUGGGAUUAUAGGCGCCCACCACCACACCCGGCUUAAUUUUUGUAUUUUUAGUAGACGGGGGUUUCACCAUGUUGGCCAGGCUGGUCUCAAACUCAUGACCUCAGGUGAUCCACCCACCUCGGCCUCCUGAAGUGCUGGGAUUACAGGCGUGAGCCACCGCACCCAGCCUACAGUUACCAUUUUAAGUGUAUACUUUCAUGCAUUUUCAAAAAUGUUCACACCUGUGAACCUAUUACCACAAACAAGAUUUAGUGUUUCUAUUACUCCAAAAAAGUUCCCUUAUGCACUUUGAUGUUAAACUAUCCCUACCUCUAAACCCUCAGGCAGCCACUCAUCUGCUAUAUGUUACUGUGGAUUGUCUGUUCUAAAAUUUCGUAUUAGCAGGCUCUCACAGUAUGUACUCUUUUGUACAGGGCUUCUUCCACUUAGCAUGUUUUUGAGAUUCAUCGAAGUUAUAUGUAUCAAUAGUUUUAUUCCUGAGUU
rnacentral:lncRNA from 1 species